GCAGAGGAGGUUGGGUGACUAUACCGGCAUGCAUUGCGUCUCAUUAUUAUUCACAAUUGUGAUUUUCGACAAACGUUUAGUGAAAAGUUGUUGAAAUAUAUUGCGAUUUUUAUCUUUGAAGAUAUCAUUUUUUCGAAGGUAUGUUUUUAUAUUUGAAUUAUUUAAGAACCUAAUUAAAUUAUUUUUGACUUGUUUGGUACAGGAAUUGCUUUUUAGUUAAGUUAAUUACGUAUUGUAUUUAUGCUUGAUUCGGGUCAGUGGACACGCCACAAAAGUGGCUUUCAAAAAAUGCAGAAGCUACUUUCAUUUUUUUGAUGGGAAAUUAAAAUAAAACACGUCAGCGAGUUAAUGAAAGUUUAUUCUUUCCAUUCGUACUUUAAAACUCAAAGUAGCUCGACGAAAUCGACUAGUAAUCGCGGUUUGAAAAUGGGGUACUUUUGCUAUAUUCUUUCGCCGAGGGCGGGAAUUGACUGCGCGGUUAUCAUUUGGCGCGAAGUAAAAACUACAGUACGAAUCACUAUUUUCUUCAAACUCUUUGGAACAAACGCAUACAUGUUUCCACAUUUAACUAUACUGAGUCUACUGACCGUGUUUCAGAAUCCUGGAUUAAAAUAUUACUGUAAAAUAUAAUAAAAAUACAGUAUGACUGAAGGUUGUUCAACUGAAGAGAAAUUUCCGAUUUAAAUAUUGAAGUUUACACUGUUUAUUUUGUACUUUCCUAGCAGAAAGAUUUAUCAGACUCCUAUAAAGAAGUCCUCAGUAAAAUAUCAUAAAUGGACCUUUGAGAAAGAUAAGGCACUUACUGAAUUCAUAUCAAUUAUCAAAACAGAUCCAAAGUAUCAGUAUGGAACACAUGUUGGAAAGCUGGCAUCGUUUAACCCAUUGAAGCUGCAGAGCUUCCCCAUUGACAAGUAAAAUCGUCUGGCGUUAGACAAGUAAAAAAAAAAUAAGUUGGGCGCAUGGCGGCUCAAAAUGGGUUAACUAGAGACAUUGUCAGAUUUUUUGAUUAACCCAUUAAGGGAGUGGUCAUUAUUUAUGGGGAGGGGGUUGGGAAAUGGGAGGGCAAACAAAGUUUUACCCUUAUAAAUAGGGGAGGUCAAAAAAGUUUUAACGCAGAGAAAGGGGGGUCAAAAAAGUUUUUGAACUUAUAAAUACCAUGUCUAGAGUUCUGAUUUAUAUAAUCACAAAUAGCAAAAAAGAAGACUCUGAAAAUGCUGUUGUUAGAGCUCUUUAUAAUAGGUGUAUUACCUGCAAAAUUCAAAACAAAUAGAUGUUUCCAUCAAAGGUCCUAUUUGGCAAUUUAGUUGUUUUGAUGUUUCAAGUAAAAUUGUCAGGUCAUAGAGCAGCAAUAUGAUGACACAGAGUGAAAAUGUGUUCUUAUCAUAAAUUAUACCACUUUAUCUGUUUUUCGUACUUUAUAUAGAUUGCCGUCUACAAACAUGAACAACUGUUUGCUACAGAAAAAAGUUUGCAAGAUGCUGACAUCCAUUAUCGUUUGACACAAUCUGACAGUUUAGCAGAACUUAAAUCUAAGUAAAUCUAAUCGUAAAUCUAAGCCUGUCAUGGAAUCAGCAACAGAGUGUGGCCAUUUUGAUGUGGUUAUUUUGCAGUGAGGGUCAAACACAAAUGAUUACAAUUUUACAGGUUUACAAAGAAAUAUAAUUCCUCUAGAAUGUUCAAUGUACAUCAUUAAGAGAAAAAAGCAUCACUAUUCGUAUACAGUAUAUUUUUAUCAUUCACCUUUCAUGUAGCAUAAUUAGAGUAAUAUUAACAUUUUUUGUAGUUUGACAGAAAUACAUUUUAUUGAACAUCAAUUCUGUGUGAUCUGUUUACUUAAGUAUCUUUUAUAAGAGUGAAAUAAAUAAAACCAUAUCAUGUGUUAAGACUGUUAGCAGGUAUUUAAUUAAUCAGUUCAUUGUUUAUUACUAGCCAUAUAAAAUUGCAGAAUUGGUAAAAUGGCAUCACAGAAUACCAAACACUUAUGCUACAGCUGCAUAUAAUAGGAAAUGCCAAGAAAUAACCUGCAGGGCAAAUAAAAUCUGGGUAUAACCACAGUCAGUUCUCAAUACAGUACAAACAAAAAACAGCACUUGAAACAAAUCAGGGAAUUUAAUAGGUCAGGAUGAAGUUCAAACCAGAGUUUUGGGGUCAAAUACACAAUUUAUGUAACCACUGUAUAUUAUUUUGUGUUGCCAGAUGACUGACCCUUGACCUGUUAUUUUGAGUGCUAGAAAAGUCAGUAUUACAAGACUCUGCCAAAACCAAUUUUUCAUUUCUAUUUAUGGCUAACACUAUUAGUAGUGGUUGUUUCAAUGCAGUACAGCAUAGCAUCACACAUUUCGUAUGGUAGUACAGCUGUGAUUCUUUUUAUGCCAAGAUAGUAAGCCUUCCAUUGAAGAUAUUGAGAUGAAGGGUAUUGUAAUGCAACCAAGGUUCACAGCUAUAUUGAAGUACCAGUAACAGCUUUCAUCUCCAGAGCUAUAUCACCAUCAUUCACCACAUCACAUCCAGAUGUUCUUCAUCCUGUUUAUGUCAUGGCAAGAAUAUCCUUUAUGUGUAACCACUUCCAUUGAUGAAAACAACUGAAAGAUAAACAAAGAGAGCACAGACUUUGUUAUGCACUGUCUUUAUAGGUGUACAAGACCUACUACGUAUCUCAAUUGGGCUGCUAAAACAACUAAAACAUGCUUUCUACAAAGCUGUGGCAAUUAUCUUUAUCACUGAAUAUUUUUAACAAAUAACAUUGCCUGGUGUUAGGCAGAAUAAAAUAAUAAAGUAGGUUGCAUUUAUACAGUAUCAAGUACAUUGCAUCGCAAUGGAGUUGACUGACAUGAAUUAAUUUUCCAGUCCUCAAUCAAAUAUUCUCCCCCAGCUAAAUAAAACUAAACAUCGUAUAUUUAUAAUCAUGUCAACAUUUUCAAAGGAUGCACAAACUUUUAUAAAUUAGGCAACACAAUGGAUUAAAGUAAACAACGUGCAUCUAAUUAAUCAUCUUACCGUAAAAAUGCAGCUCGAAUUGUAUUUCUAUCAAUGCAGGACUGCAUCCAGUGAACAUUUCGUAGACUUUCUUUCAAUUCCAUUUAUAUAAGCAAGUAAACAACCGAUGGACAUAGCCGAUAGCGCUAUUCUCACAUUCUCACGACAUUCAAGUUCGACACAGCAAUCCGCUUGGGAUCAAGAUUAAAGUUUCUUUAGACACGCACUCACACAAUGAACAAACACAAGCUCUUGUCCAUUCAAUACUGAAACAUUUUCCCCUCGAAUGCAGCGAAAACUUGCCAUUUUAGUUGCAAUAUAAAUUGAAAUACUUCAUUACCUCUCCAGUUCUGACUUCCGCGAAAGCUACCGAACAAUGACGUGCACUGCCGAGAAAUCGAUAAUAUGUAACAAAAUGUGCCUGACCGCAAUGCAUGCCGGUAUAGUCACCCAACCUCCUCUGACAAUUAGUUAAAGCGGCAAUCCCUCUAUUUUUCCUCUUGUCUCCGCCCCUUUUUGCCAUUUUCCCGCGCGUUCAAUCUUAGUCCGGGAAACAAUAAAACGAAGGAAAAUAGAG